AUACGGAGGUGGCGAGCGUUGCCCGGAAUCACUGGGCGUAAAGGGGGCGUAGGCGGCCGGGCGAGUCGGACGUGAAAGCCCGGGGCUCAACCCCGGAAUUGCGUUCGAUACUGUCUGGCUUGAGGUCCGGAGAGGCCGGCGGAAUUCCCGGUGUAGGGGUGAAAUCCGUAGAUAUCGGGAGGAACACCGGUGGCGAAGGCGGCCGGCUGGACGGCACCUGACGCUGAGGCCCGAAAGCGUGGGGAGCAAACCGGAUUAGAAACCCUAGUAGUCC
rnacentral:rRNA from 1 species